ACCUGAGCCCAGUUUACUAUAGGACUUAGCAGAGAGGGCUGCGCUCUAUCACUUGGUUUCCUUCCUUUCAACGAUCACAGCUUCCGUGGAGAUGUUCCAGGCUGGUUUAAGAUUUAGGGAAGGAGCUCAGUGGUUCCUCCUAAUUGUGAGAGGGAUAAACAUGUCACAUCACAGAAAGGAAGUAUUGUGAAGAAGCAGGCAAAGACUCUGAAUAAUCAGAUUUACUUUCUUUUCCUGCAUUGUGCUGUUUAAGACUGCUAAAUGAAGAUAAAUUCUAUUGCAGAAUCCUGAAUUUCACCAUGAAGAGACUGUCGCCCAGCCUUCUCAUCUAGAGAAUUAUUCUCAGGAUCUGCAGACAGGAGAAACAACUAGUCACCACUCAGUUUGAUUCACUAUAUGUUUGAGAAUCCACUUCUAUGUGCGGUGCAGUCAGGUGGAGAGAGGCUAUCAACACAGGCAGCUCUCUUGUCCAAAGAGCCUACCCAGGUGCCACAACUUGGUCUGACUCUGAGGGUUCUGAACCUGAAUAUCUCCUGAUACUUAUAAUGGCAUCAUGGCCUCCUAUUUUCAGGGGGAAAACUCAUCUAAUACUUAAAUUGUAGUUUUUAGUGCAUGGAUCUCUGAAUAUCAGAAGAUUGCCUUCAAAAUGUUAUUUAGAUGCAUCUUAUGAAAUGGAUAUAUUCUAGGACUAUGUCAGUGUAGUACAAUCUGCUAAAGUAAGUUCUGCAUCACAAUGGCUUUUGGAAAUGUUGAGAUGUGUUCCUGGGAUAUUAGUUUGACUUCCAGAAAAAAAAUUCUCAUUGAAAAGGUUUUCUCCCCACCUAUGAGGAGCUCCAUUCUUUCUUUUAAAUUGACCAGACAUCCUGCCAGUUUGUGUAAGUGUGUGCUUGUGAACCCAUGUGCUUUUAUGUGCAUACGUGAGCUCAGGGGUAGAGCAAGUCAGAGGGAGUGUUGGCAGGAGACAAUAUGGAAAAUGGAAAAUCAUGGCAGACUUCUUUGUGUGCCAAGUUUGAAUAUGAAACCUAUUGCUCCUGAUGAAAACAAAACCAAAAUAAAAUGCUGUGGGUGAAAUAAUUUCUGACAAUGUAGCUACACUCAUAGAUUGUGUAAAAGAAUAGAAAAUUGCAGCUGCCAGUUGUGAAUCGAGUCUUUGGAUUUUUUUUCCCCAUUUUCGUGUGUCACAUAAUACCCCUUAUUUCUGCGUAUCUGAGGGCUAAUAGUAUAAAAUGCUUACCAAUCUGACUCUAUUUUCCUCUUUUUAAUAAAAUUUGGAAUAAAAUUUAUGAUCAUAACAAA
rnacentral:lncRNA from 1 species